AAGGCUUGGCCACUCCUCUAGGCCUCCCACCCUCUCCCAGGGGCCUCUUUUCUCCAACCUGCCUAGUCUCACCCCUGUCUCCAGAGAGACCCCAGCUGGCCCGGAGCAUCAGCCUUGCCCCUCGAUUGAGGCCUGCAGAGGGAACGAUCGCGCUCCACUCUCCGGACCGAGCUGCUCCCGGACCCACCUCACAGCACAGCCCUCAGUGGAGUCCAAGUCCCACCCCAAGGGCAGGUAGCCCAAGGGCGGUUAGAGGAGGUGGGACUUGCCUUUGUGCAGCUGCGGCUUGUAUAGAAAGGGCGUUGCUGGGAGAGGGGACCUGGGCCCGACAGGUGAUUGCCCCACCCGUGCCCUGGAGGGCCACAGCCCCAGGGAGCUAUUGGGUUGCUCAAUCCCUCGCUGUUCUCUCUCCCAGGCUUUGUUUGCUUCCUUCUUAAUACCCGCCUGCAAUUAUUUGAUGCUUGUGAUCGGUUUGUGAAUCUGUCUCCCUGACCAGCCUCCUAAGUUCCAGGAGGACACCAGUGUUUCAAAUAAAGAAGAAACCCCACUCCUGACAUGGGGGAAGGAAGAGGGGACAAAAAACAAAGCACUCUUCACGUCAGCCAGCUCUUCAAACUCUGCCCAAGAGGAUAAGGGCAGCAGCGGCCUGGAUGAGGGGAGGAGCUGGGCGUGCCCGGGUGCUCUGAGGAGCCUGUCCCUGUUCCCGCCAGAGGGGACGCAGCCGGGCUGGCCUCAGGUCUGCGCUUCCGGCUGUUAACUACUCUUCUUAGUUCAGAUCUGGAACUCAGCAUCAGGGGAGUGUGAUCAGGGCCCCCCUGAGGGUGGCCCCAGCUGCAACUCCAGGGUAAGGAGUGUGGGCUCUGGGGUCAGACAGCCUGGGUUCGAAUCCCAGCCUCACUGUUCCAUAGCCCUGUGACCUUGGGCAAGUGACCAAGUUACUUAGUUUUUCUGUCCCUCAGUUUCCGCCACGGUAAAAUGAGAAUGACAGAAGUGCCUAGACUGAACUAACGUGUGUAGUCUUUUAGUGCCUGGGCACAUGGCAAGCGUGUGAUGAGUCACUGUGCCCGUCUUAUCGUCAGCCGUCAUCUCGGUGCUUUUCACAACCACCCUGUUAUGAUCGCCCUCCAUUUUAAAGAAGGAGACUGGGGAGCUUCACCCACGGUCACCCUCCCACGUGCGAGGCGGAGUCCCGACCCACGUCCGUCUGACGGAAGGCGGAGCUUUCACGCGAGGCACGCACGGAGGCACACACAGUUACCCAUCCUGCCCUGCCCUCUGGCCGCCCACUCACUGGGCAAGCAAAGGGCUCAGAGGCGACACACAGUGAUCCCAGGGCUUUAUUUACAAGAGGAGAAGG
rnacentral:lncRNA from 1 species